CAGGGCGUGGACACUGGCAUAUUCUUGUAUACUGAGACUGUAACAGAGAACACGCAUGGGGGAGGGUGAGAUAAAUGUGCAGAGGGAUAAAAAGACAUGGCAGAAAAAGUAGAGCAGAUAAAAGUAUAGAGGGGAUAGACGAGUAAAAAAAGGGGAAAGAAGAGAGAGAAACUUUGGUGGAUUAUGGGAGGGAGCUCCAGGGCGAACGUUCUCCUGCGCAUCUUAUAUCCAGAUAUAGAACAACGUAAUUACGCUGUAAUUAAUAAGGUUUUCAUAUUGCCAAUCCUCUGUGAAUAGAAUAUAUACCGGUAAUAGAACAUGCCAUUUUCAGUGCAGGUAUUGGACUACGGAGCAGUGACAGGUGAUGUGCAAUCCGAUAUGUUGAUGAGUGGACCUGCUCUUUGGGUAUAAACUACAUAUCCCACAAACAUCUGUCCUGCAGAGAUUUAUUGGAUAGGAGUCUCUUCCUGAUGAGUGAGGAGUCUGCACCUUGUGAUUAC